rnacentral:lncRNA from 1 species
AUUCUUUCCAAAGGUCGUGGGACCCACAUAUUUUCUUAACAUGGACAAAAAAUCUCUAAACUUGGGCAUAUUUUUACCUAUAGAUUCAUUUUUUAGUAGGACCCACACAAAAAAAAAUAAAACACCUCUCUCUUUCCCUCCUUCUCCCAACUAUCCAAAUUUUUUUUAAAUCAUUAAGUUUCUAUUCUGAUCUCCAUUUGUAGUAAUGUAUCUCUUCGUAUUGCAUACAACGUAUCUUUUAUAUGCGCUGUUUAUAUCUUCUAUGUCUUUAAUUGUAACUAUACGAGUAACACGGAAAUUGGUUUUUUUUUUGGUAAGUAGUGUCUGUGGCACCCGCAAUUCCCUAGUUUUGUCUAUAAUUGAAUUGUCAAAAGGUUGGGCUACAUUGCUUUAUAUUCAACCUCUAUGCAUUCUAUAAGAAUAUCAAUCAUACAUAAUUUUGUUUUUGCGGACUUUUAUGAUGUCUAUGCUACAUGUGUAUUUAAAAGACUCUUUCAAGUCACUAUUGGAACUGGUAUUAACUAUUACUUCAAGUCACCUUACUUCUCUGAACCAUGAUGCUUACUUUCAUAUGUACUCGCACAGUGCUUUAAGUAUUCCUGAUUCUCUAGGGGCAAAUACUGUUCCUAAGCAUUGGUUUUCUGAGCCCUAUGUCCAAGACACCGUACACGGUCAGAUAUUUCAUAGUUCUGAAUAUUCUUAUUUUAUUUUUGAGCCUAGUGGUGUUUACAAACAAAUAUUUUGAACAUUAUGUGCAACGUGGGAGUUUCAUGCAUUAUCAUACAGUAAGCUCCUUUAACCAGAAUGCUUACUGUUACUGGAUUCAUGAUCAACUAGACGAGUAGACAUGUUGAACACACAUCCCAUAUACUUACCCAAGUGUUCAGUGUCUGACACAAGUACUUCUUGAGUUCCUGCUUAUGGUACGUUAUUAGAUGAAGCGCUAAUAGUUUUUCAAGUUUUAGUGGGAAUGUGUUUUUUAUAAGAUUUUUUGUGUUAGUUCUUCUCUGUCUAUUCAAACUGUGUUCCCUAGCUCCUAAUCAUGAAAUUGCUUUCAUGGUAUUCCAAAUCCUGAUUUCCUAUUUCCUAUAGUCAUUUAGACCUUUCACUGUAUGAAUACCAACAGCUCACGACGUCUGUUUUUGAUGUCUUGCAAGUAUGUUAUACUAAUGAGCUCUAAACACGCUUCGCCCAUGCUAGAUACUUUGACAAGUUGAAUUUGUAGACUACUUCUGGAGGUUAUGUUUGUGGUUUGAUAGUUUGACCUUGGAAAUUACUCAUUUAUCUGUUGUUGUUCACCAUUCAAGGUAACAAUAAAAGAGUUUAAAAAUAUUACAGCAAAUAAAAGCUCAUAUUUUACUCAAAAUCAUGUCACAAGUUUCGGGAAUCUUAAGGCCAAGGCUGAUCACCUUAUUCUGUCACUGUAGCUUGCUGGGAUAAAUUAAAUUACUGAAUACAGCAAAUGUGACAACUCCAUUUUGUUGGGCCUGGACUUGGAAACAGUGCUCCAAUGGGGUCUCCAGUUUGUCACAUACACUGCAGAGUGAAAAGAUGCUUAGAAUUGCUUGAAGCUUCCUCACAAUUUACUAGCAAUCGGUGCUUAUUUUAUCAAAAAAAAAUGUCUAAUGCCUCCACGGGUAAGAUUCAGGCAGCCUCAUCAUUUUGAUUAAAAAUGGUUCCUCUGCAUGCCAAAUAGAAUUGAAGUCAUUUGAAAAAUCCUUGGACUAAUCUUAGUCCAGUUUGCCAUUCGUGAAUUUGACUAGAACGAUUAAUGACAAGAGUUGGCCAGGGGGCUACCUUUUUCUCUUUAUUGUUUAAGAUGACUUUCAGCUUGACAGGUCCAGUCGGCAAGUAUCCCUCUUUCUCUAAAAUCUUAACUUAUCCUCCAAUACGCUGUCUGGCCCAGCCUGCCAAGGUAGGCACUGUGCCGUUUGUGAUCUGAGUAAUAAUUUGCUUUCUGGAACUUCCAUCAAGAUCCAAAAUUGGCAAUUAUGUGAGUUUUGAGUUAAUUCCAAACCAUUGAACAGGUUCCUUUCAAUUCAAACUUCUCAAUUUUUGAGGCUGACUUCAUUCACGGUAUCCAACACUCAUUAGGGUGUCCUCCCACCUGGUGUUAGGUAUAUCCUGAAAUAAAACACUCGAUUUUUAGCUUGACCAGCUAAUGUGUUUCCCUCCUUCCCAGCCUGUUUAACUCUAGCAAGAUGACUGAUCUUACCCUGUCCUUAUAAUAACUUCUCCGGGCCAAUACCUCUUCAGCCUUCCAAAUCUACCUUUGAAGGUUCCCUUCCAAAAUCUAGCCUUGCAUCGCUUGAGCUAUCACAUAAUUCAUAACAGUCUUUUGCCCCCUAAAUUGGGUACUUCACAUUAUGCUCAUCUCGACCUGUCUAAUAACCAUUUUGAAGGGUGUCUUUCCCUUUGCACGCUUUUUUAUUUGUUCUUUCUUUAGAGUUCCUUCCUGCGGAUUGACAAUUAUUCAUUGUCAUAUACAUGAUCUUUCGGG